UUGAAUAAUAAAAACUGCAUGGCAAUUUUACCAACCGGAUAUGGGAAGUCAUUGCCAUAUCAGAUGUUUAUACAUGUGAGAAAAGAGUUACAGAUUCAGCGAUCCUCAGGCGCAGACUCUUCCAACGUUGGAAAGAUUAUCGUGCCUUCUCCUUUAAUUGCAUAAAUGCAAGAUUAAGUGGACAAAUUGAACUCAAUUCCAAACGUGAACGCAGUUUACAAAGGCUAGAGUAAAGACAGUGACCAGGUAAUAGCAGAGGGCAAGUUUGAUCAUCUCAUUGCAUCGCCAGAGGCGUUGGUUGGCAGCAGUGCCUUCCGGCAAAUACUUAAGGGAUUAAAAGUACACACAAUUGUGGUAGAUGAAUACCACACUAUGUGCACAUGGGGAGGAUUAGGGGAUGACGAGCAGUUAGCCUUUAGAAAAUGGUUCCGGCACAUAGGGUAGCUAUGGUAUAUGUUUCCCUCUGCAAAUUUAUAGGCUGUCAGUGCAACUUGUAACGAGAUAAUUCGUCGAACAGCUUUGAAGGAACUGGGGUUGCUAAAAGAAUGCACAGCAUUGAUUAUAAGAUCACCAG